rnacentral:rRNA from 1 species
GAUGAACGCUGGCGGCGUGCCUAAUACAUGCAAGUCGAGCGAACGGACGAGAAGCUUGCUUCUCUGAUGUUAGCGGCGGACGGGUGAGUAACACGUGGAUAACCUACCUAUAAGACUGGGAUAACUUCGGGAAACCGGAGCUAAUACCGGAUAAUAUUUUGAACCGCAUGGUUCAAAAGUGAAAGACGGUCUUGCUGUCACUUAUAGAUGGAUCCGCGCUGCAUUAGCUAGUUGGUAAGGUAACGGCUUACCAAGGCAACGAUGCAUAGCCGACCUGAGAGGGUGAUCGGCCACACUGGAACUGAGACACGGUCCAGACUCCUACGGGAGGCAGCAGUAGGGAAUCUUCCGCAAUGGGCGAAAGCCUGACGGAGCAACGCCGCGUGAGUGAUGAAGGUCUUCGGAUCGUAAAACUCUGUUAUUAGGGAAGAACAUAUGUGUAAGUAACUGUGCACAUCUUGACGGUACCUAAUCAGAAAGCCACGGCUAACUACGUGCCAGCAGCCGCGGUAAUACGUAGGUGGCAAGCGUUAUCCGGAAUUAUUGGGCGUAAAGCGCGCGUAGGCGGUUUUUUAAGUCUGAUGUGAACGCCCACGGCUCAACCGUGGAGGGUCAUUGGAAACUGGAAAACUUGAGUGCAGAAGAGGAAAGUGGAAUUCCAUGUGUAGCGGUGAAAUGCGCAGAGAUAUGGAGGAACACCAGUGGCGAAGGCGACUUUCUGGUCUGUAACUGACGCUGAUGUGCGAAAGCGUGGGGAUCAAACAGGAUUAGAUACCCUGGUAGUCCACGCCGUAAACGAUGAGUGCUAAGUGUUAGGGGGUUUCCGCCCCUUAGUGCUGCAGCUAACGCAUUAAGCACUCCGCCUGGGGAGUACGACCGCAAGGUUGAAACUCAAAGGAAUUGACGGGGACCCGCACAAGCGGUGGAGCAUGUGGUUUAAUUCGAAGCAACGCGAAGAACCUUACCAAAUCUUGACAUCCUUUGACAACUCUAGAGAUAGAGCUUUCCCCUUCGGGGGACAAAGUGACAGGUGGUGCAUGGUUGUCGUCAGCUCGUGUCGUGAGAUGUUGGGUUAAGUCCCGCAACGAGCGCAACCCUUAAGCUUAGUUGCCAUCAUUAAGUUGGGCACUCUAAGUUGACUGCCGGUGACAAACCGGAGGAAGGUGGGGAUGACGUCAAAUCAUCAUGCCCCUUAUGAUUUGGGCUACACACGUGCUACAAUGGACAAUACAAAGGGCAGCGAAACCGCGAGGUCAAGCAAAUCCCAUAAAGUUGUUCUCAGUUCGGAUUGUAGUCUGCAACUCGACUACAUGAAGCUGGAAUCGCUAGUAAUCGUAGAUCAGCAUGCUACGGUGAAUACGUUCCCGGGUCU